UCUAAACCUUUCUUGCGAUGUUAGUGAGCGUUUUCGGUGGAUACGACUACAAUAUCUCAAUUUGUGGUCGUUACAGAUGADUGAGUGAUGUAAUUCGAACGAUUAUACACGAAAAACGAGGAAGUUGUUUCUGUACCGGUUUUUAUCCUCCUGCGCAYCUAAAAUUCAUUUMUGCGUCAAUUUUGAUGUUAACUUGAAAAUUUGUCGUGCAUUCCCUAUGAAAUUAUUUGUAUAGUUACAAAAAGCGUUUGAAACAGGAUCCGUCCCACUUUUUCUUUUUUUUUUUUUUUUUAUUAGUUUUUUUUUUAUUUUUUAAUUGGUAAAUAGGAAAUGCUUUUGCCAAAUGAGUUAUAUACAAAUAGUGUGCGGAUG
rnacentral:rRNA from 1 species